GAUGAACGCUGGCGGCGUGCCUAAUACAUGCAAGUCGAGCGAACAGACGAGGAGCUUGCUCCUCUGACGUUAGCGGCGGACGGGUGAGUAACACGUGGAUAACCUACCUAUAAGACUGGGAUAACUUCGGGAAACCGGAGCUAAUACCGGAUAAUAUAUUGAACCGCAUGGUUCAAUAGUGAAAGACGGUUUUGCUGUCACUUAUAGAUGGAUCCGCGCCGCAUUAGCUAGUUGGUAAGGUAACGGCUUACCAAGGCGACGAUGCGUAGCCGACCUGAGAGGUGGAUCGGCCACACUGGAACUGAGAAACGGUCAAGACUCCUACGGGAGGCAGAAGAAGGGAAUCUUCCGAAAUGGGCGAAAGCUUGACGGAGCAACGCCGCGUGAGUGAUGAAGGUCUUCGGAUCGUAAAACUCUGUUAUUAGGGAAGAACAAAUGUGUAAGUAACUAUGCACGUCUUGACGGUACCUAAUCAGAAAGCCUCGGCUAACUACGUG
rnacentral:rRNA from 1 species